GAAACAUGCCUUACCAUAAACGCUGUAAGAAGUGUCAGAACCAUCUCUCCACCCAUCUAGUCAUUUCAAUGAAUGUGAAACCAAACAAUACAAAAUUAGUGCCCCUCUAACAAACAUCACAAAACAAUGUCGAAAUUUCUCCUUUCCUCAGACCCAUUAUAAAAGAUCUAUCUGAUAUCAUGAUUCCUUCCCUUCUUCGUACUGUAGAUGUCUAUCAAAUACACUGCUCAUAAAGCUGCAAAAGUAUGAACUUAUUAAAAAAUAACACAGAGAUCUGAAAUAGCUUCUUAUAGUUUUGUUGCAUAUUUAAAAAAAAAAUUACAUUCUGGUAUCUUUUUUGAUAGCACUACAUUUUGCAAAAUUUUUGAAGUCAGGGUUGAGAUUUGAUUGAUGAAAAUUAUUAACAGACCACAGUCACAUAAAACAGUUAAAUGAAGCUUGUUGUGUUAGAGAAAAUAUCAUGAGUAGAAUGCUGGGAAGUGUUUUAUUUUUGCUAACUUUUUAUCAAUUAGAGUAUUGGAACCACUAAGACAUCUUGUGACCCACUUAUUCUACAUUCACUGUCUGGAACCUCUGCAGACUGUUAUUGAAUAGGUUCUGCCUGGGUGUCAUCCCAAGGAGCACCUCUGCUGUGUCUUCUGUUUUUGCAUUUCAUCAAGAAUGAUUGUUUAGCUGCAACAUGCCCUACAUUUUUUUCAAGACUUCUUUGCACAGUCAUGACAUGUACUCUGCUGCCACAUAUCUCUGCCAUACACUGAAUUGAUGCAGCUGACAGUUUACCCUGUAUCUCCUUUAAAUGGCUGACUGUGGCAAAAAGGAUUUCUUGAUAUAAUUUACUAUGAAGAGUCACUUUAAUACUGAAAAUAUUUUUUGUAUCCACCAGAGCCAUUUGUGGUGCUAGCAGAGUGACAUCCUGGCAUUACUUUGUGCCAUACCAAUGAAAGAACUGAUGACUACACCUGUCGGCAGGCACCACAGGUCGGCAGGACCUUUCCACAUGAAGAGACACCAGAUUUUAAGAAGGGCAUUGGGGCUCAUGAUUGUUUUAAAGGAAAAUUCUGCCUGUAUUUUAACCUUGAUUUUAUUGGAUUUGUUUAUUUCUGGAAAAUUUUAACCUCCACCACGAACUUGAAUUUAUGGAUUAUUUAUUUGAAGAUGCACUUCACUA